rnacentral:rRNA from 1 species
UAUCUCUGUAGAGUCUGCAUAUCAAUAAGCGGAGGAAAAGAAACUAACUAGGAUUCCCUCAGUAACGGCGAGUGAAGCGGGAAGAGCUCAAAUUUGAAAUCUUCAAGGUUCUACCUUGACGAAUUGUAGUUUAAAGAAGUGUUUUCUGUUGGAGUUUUGGUAAAAGUUCUUUGGAAUAGGACAUCAUAGAGGGUGAGAAUCCCGUAUUUGACCAUUAUUUCCAGCUUUGUGAUACACUUUCAAAGAGUCGGAUUGUUUGGGAAUGCAGUCCAAAAUGGGUGGUAAAUUUCAUCUAAAGCUAAAUAUUGGCGAGAGACCGAUAGCGAACAAGUACCGUGAGGGAAAGAUGAAAAGAACUUUGAAAAGAGAGUUAAACAGUACGUGAAAUUGCCAAAAGGGAAGCGUUUGACACCAGUGUUGUUUUCUCGAAAAUCAAUUAAAAAUGGCAGGAUUUUGUGUUGUAUUGACUUUAUCAGCUUUCUGCACUUUUUUCCUGUCUUUUUUAAUGCACUUUUCGUUUAACAAGUCAACAUCAAUUUCUUUUGUUGUAAAAGGGUCAUUGGAAGGUGGCUUUCUUUUCGGAGAAAGUGUUUAUAGCCUUUGGCCUCUGCAAUCGGAGAGAUUGAGGUCUGCAGCGUAGAUCCUUCGGGGUUAGAUACAUUUGUGCUAAGUUAUAGCCUUUCAUAGACAACUUGUUGACUAUGAUCAGUCAUGUAGCUUACUCGCUUAUGCUAUUUUACCUACGCUUAGGAUGUUGAGUCAUCACACAUCUCU